rnacentral:tRNA from 1 species
GCCGAAGUGGCGAAAUUGGCAGACGCACUGGACUCAAAAUCCAGCACCGUUUUACGGUAUGCCGGUUCGAGUCCGGCCUUCGGCA